rnacentral:rRNA from 1 species
GAUGAACGCUGGCGGCGUGCCUAAUACAUGCAAGUCGAGCGAACAGAUGAGGAGCUUGCUCCUCUGACGUUAGCGGCGGACGGGUGAGUAACACGUGGAUAACCUACCUAUAAGACUGGGAUAACUUCGGGAAACCGGAGCUAAUACCGGAUAAUAUAUUGAACCGCAUGGUUCAAUAGUGAAAGACGGUUUUGCUGUCACUUAUAGAUGGAUCCGCGCCGCAUUAGCUAGUUGGUAAGGUAACGGCUUACCAAGGCAACGAUGCGUAGCCGACCUGAGAGGGUGAUCGGCCACACUGGAACUGAGACACGGUCCAGACUCCUACGGGAGGCAGCAGUAGGGAAUCUUCCGUAAUGGGCGAAAGCCUGACGGAGCAACGCCGCGUGAGUGAUGAAGGUCUUCGGAUCGUAAAACUCUGUUAUUAGGGAAGAACAAAUGUGUAAGUAACUAUGCACGUCUUGAGGGUACCUAAUCAGAAAGCCACGGCUAACUACGUG